rnacentral:rRNA from 1 species
UACGGGGAGGCAGCAGGUGGGGAAUAUUGCACAAGUGGGCGAAAGCCUGAUGCAGCUAUGCCGCGUGUAUGAAGAAGGCCUUAGGGUUGUAAAGUACUUUCAUCGGGGAGGAAAAAACAAAACUAAUAAUUUUAUUUCUUGACGUUACCAAAAAGAAGCACCGGCUAACUCCGUGCCAGCAGCCGCGGUAAUACGGAGGGUGCUAGCGUUAAUCAGAAUUACUGGGCGUAAAGAGCACGUAGGUGGUUUUUUUAAAGUCAGAUGUGAAUCCCUGGGCUUAACCUAGGAACUGCAUUUGAAACUGAAAUACUAGAGUAUCGUAGAGGGAGGUAGAAUUCUAGGUGUAGCGGUGAAAUGCGUAGAUAUCUGGAGGAAUACCUGUGGCGAAAGCGGCCUCCUAAACGAAUACUGACACUGAGGUGCGAAAGCGUGGGGA